rnacentral:rRNA from 1 species
UACGUAGGGGGCUAGCGUUGUCCGGAAUCAUUGGGCGUAAAGAGCGUGUAGGCGGCCCGGUAAGUCCGCUGUGAAAGUCGGGGGCUCAACCCUCGGAUGCCGGUGGAUACUGUCGGGCUCGAGUACGGAAGAGGCGAGUGGAAUUCCUGGUGUAGCGGUGAAAUGCGCAGAUAUCAGGAGGAACACCUAUUGCGAAGGCAGCUCGCUGGGACGUGACUGACGCUGAGACGCGAAAGCGUGGGGAGCAAAC